rnacentral:lncRNA from 1 species
CACUUUUCUUUUCUUGUACAUCUCCGUAUUGACAGUGAUGGGCGUCGUCAAGUCCAACACCAAGUGCUCAACCGUCGGCAUUCAAGGGAUUGCAUGGGCCUUCGGUGGCAUGAUCUUCGCGCUCGUUUACUGCACAGCUGGCAUCUCGGGUUUGUACCAGCUGCGCUUCUGGUUAAUUAAUUUUAUGAGCAAAAUAACUAAAGGGUUCGACAAAAUAAUUUUUGAUUUUUUAAACUUUUUGUUGUGACGCAGGUGGUCAUAUCAACCCGGCGGUGACAUUCGGGCUGUUCUUGGCGAGGAAGCUGUCGUUGACACGUGCACUUUUCUACAUGGUGAUGCAGUGUCUGGGAGCCAUCUGUGGUGCUGGCGUUGUAAAGGGUUUCAUGGGUGCCGGCCAAUACGGUCGGCUCGGCGGCGGUGCCAAUGCUGUAGCUCAUGGCUACACCAAGGGUGAUGGUCUUGGUGCCGAGAUUAUUGGUACUUUUGUUCUUGUCUACACAGUUUUCUCUGCCACUGACGCCAAACGUAGCGCCAGAGACUCUCAUGUUCCUGUAAGUUGAUUCUUUUUCUGGUUAAUGUAUGAUUAAUUAACCAAUAAUAAUCAUAAUUAUUACCUUUACUAAUAACUACCUUAUUGAAUAUGGUUAGAUUUUGGCUCCUUUGCCAAUUGGGUUCGCUGUGUUCUUGGUUCACUUGGCUACUAUCCCUAUUACCGGAACUGGCAUCAACCCCGCAAGGAGUCUUGGAGCUGCAAUCAUCUACAACAAGGACCACGGUUGGGAUGACCAUGUAAGUUUAAUUUACUCUCUUGAUUACCCUAAAAUAAGAUCUCGGUCAUCAAGAUUACACUUGUGGACGUAAAUUCAAUAAUGGUAAUUAAUCAGUUAAUCAUGAUCAAUCUUAUAUAUGGUUUUGAUGCAGUGGAUUUUCUGGGUGGGACCAUUCAUUGGAGCAGCACUUGCAGCUUUGUACCACCAGGUUGUGAUCAGAGCCAUUCCGUUCAAAUCAAGCUGAUGGUCUUAUGAACGGUCGUGAUUGCUGAUGCAUUUGUUUAUGGCUGUCGUUGGUGGUUCUGUUUUAUAUUUUAGAUUAUCCCAAGUCCAUGCAUUUUCGGUUCGUUAAAUUUUCUGGUUGUUUGGUUUUGUGUAUGAAUUUUCUGUAAUGCCUAUGCACAAAGAAGCCGCUGGCAGUGGCUUUAUUUAAAUUUAUGUAGUUUAUUUUUUCUUAAAAAGCAAAGUAAUUUCAUUAAACAAUAAACAGUACAAUAAUGAUACACAAUACUACAAUAGUAGAUCCACACACUCUAAAUAUAUAUAUGCGGAUAAAACUGUAUAUUACAAACAUAUAAUAUAUAUAAUUAAUAAAUGGAUCUUAUCGAAUUUUUUGAAUACUAGCCAACCAAAAAGAAUUUGCCUUAGUUGAAGAGGCGUUGUUAGAAGCAUAAUCAUUAUGUAUUAUGGAACACCAUAUAUAUGCUCGCUAUCGUAUGAAGUUUGCGUGCUGGUAUUUUUUUGCGUUUUGGUUAUAAAUGAAUGUCGUUUGGAGAAUUGUUAUAUAUGUACAUAAAAUUUCAAAUUAAAAAAAAAAAUGGUUAUGAUGCUAUGAUGUAAUAUUGAAGUUUAUGGUCAAUCCAAAAGAAAAUGACUUACAAAGGAAAUGGAAUAGAUUUAAUUUAAUUAACAUUGUCGAUUAUACGACAAUUUUAAAUGGCGGAGGAUUUACUACGUAAAUUUGGAUUCAGUAUUAAGCUGACUUUUUUAAUAAUUUUUUUUAAAGAUACAAUUAAUAGUUAUUAUAUAAGAAAACAAAACUAAUCAACUUUUAAUCGUGUAUAGCUAAACAUGCACGGAUGUUUUGCUCUGUUUUGUUGCAAUGUAAUAUUACUUCUUUGUAUGGUUAAAACCAACAUUGCAUAACUAAAGAAGGGUAAAAGCUCGUUUAGUCUCUAUAUUUUGAAGUUAGUGCCCGUUUAGUCCCUAUAUUUUUAAAAAUACCUUAAACCAUCCCUACCAUUAAAUUAUUGACACUUUUGCCAUUAUCUUUUGUUCCUUUUAACUUAUUUUUAUAAUAUUGCUCUAUUAUAAUAAUUUUUUAGACAUUAUUAAAAAGAAAAAAAUAACCCUAUUAUAAUAAUUUUUUAGACAUUAUUAAAAAGGAAAAAAUAAAUUACCAGUUUAACACCAAAAAAUAAAAUAAAAUAAAAUAAUAUAUAUUAAUUUUUGUGGAACACACUCUUGAGUUAAAAUAUUAAUUUUUCUAAAAAAAUUGAUAAUGUAAUUUUUUACGAUAUUAAUUUUUUAGACAUACGUGAGUUUCCACAAAAAUUAAUAUAUACCUUUUUUGUUUUUAUUUUAUUUUUGAGUUUAAUUUGAUAAUUUAAUUUUUUAUUAAUAUCCAAAAAAGAAACAUUAUUGUAAAAAUGUAAUAUUGUAAAAGCAAGUUAAAAAUAAUAAAAAAUAAUCGCAUAAGUGUCAAUAUUUAGUAACAGGGACGUUUUGAGGUGUUUUUAAAAAUAUAGGGACUAAAUGAACACUAACCUCAUAAUAUAAGGACUAAAUUACAAGCUUUUACCCACUAAAGAAUUAUACAUUGUUUGCUUUUACUUUUUUUUUUUAAUGAAGGAUAGACAUUUGUACAACUAUACGAGAGAAUCACUAGUUUAUUAUAUAAAAAAUAUAUAUGCAAAUAAUGAAACCAAACUUCAAGAGUUUUAUGUGAUGACAUCCCAAAAUGUUAUCCCAAAUUAUAUGGCACGUGAUGUAUCAUUUAUUAAGUGGUUGAUGAUCUUUAAUAAAUUCUAAAUGAAUUAAUUAAAUUAUCUUACCAAUAAGUGAAUAAAUCCACAUCAUUUAGGAUGAAAUUUACUAUUGACUAAUUAAAUUUUUUUACUAUUAAAAAAAUAAUCUAUAGUAUUUCAUUCUUUAAAUGGAUAAGAAUUAAAAGAAUAGAAAUUAUGAGAGUAGAAAAUUAGAUUUAUAGUAUCAAGUAUGUUAAUAACUCUUUAGUUGAGUUGGUUCAUGCCAACUCUUAUUAUCUGAAAGGUCGAGGUUUUGAGUGUUUUAUAUUUAUGAGAGUAAAAUUUAACAUAAAAAAUAGUGUCAAUAUAACCUGCUCCGUUUGGAGGCAAUUUCAUAGAUAGGCUACUUUAUAAAUUUCUCAAUUUUAUAAUUUACUUAAAUAAAAAAGUAAUGUCAUUUUAGUGCAUUUUUAAUUUUUUUUUAACUCAUAUGAUGGUGCAUUUUUUAAUUCAAUAAAAAGGUACAGUCACUUCUUUGUUGUCUAUAGUUUUCAUGUUUAUGUAAUAAAAUUAUGGGUUCAUGUUGUUUCAUAUAUUUAUGUGACGUGACUCGUAUCGUUUUCUAUAUAGGGGCAUGCAGCUUGAAUAUUAUUGAGCUUAAAUUCGCUCAAAUAUUAAGGUCCAUAAAACAUUCCCUCCAAAUAGAUUACAAAUAUAAUUAAAAAGAUGCAUUUAACCUUUCUUUGCCAGAAAGAAAUGACGAAGCUAAUUAAAGCACAAACCCAACUAUUGAUUGCAAAUAUCAUGAAGAUUAUUCAAUAUCAUCCAGACAAAUCACUACAACAAUAACACGCUAUAAGAAACAUGUUAGUUGACAUGAUUGGCAUAAUUAAUUUCCAUGAAUUCGCCAUUAACUACCGUCCUGUGUAAUAUAUAAAAAUACCUGCCAGCAUAAAAUUUCUCUAUGAUUUUGUACUUAUUAAGAGAUAAUCAUUCGCUACAGCUGCCUAAUGCAGGAAGGAUUAUGAUCCUCUCUUAAUAUGAUAUUUUCAUAAAUAAAUUUUAUUAAUGUCGUUGGUGGUUAAUAAAUAAAAAAGUAAAGAUAAUUAAAUCAUAAUUAUAUAUUAGCACCAAAAUACAAGUUGUAUAAAAUCUAUAAAAUAUUAGAAAAACUCAUAUCAUGAGAGGAUUCUAGUCCAUGUAGGAAUAACAUCAAUUAGAAAAAUUAUAAUUCAAAUUAUGUGCAUAAACGCCACCCAAAAAAAAAGAAUACUAUUUUUUACUGUAGUAAUUGAUCUAAAUUCAUUUUUAAGUCGCUUCCAACUCCUGAACUUUUUUUUCGUAAGUAAUACUCAAAAAUUAAGUUAAUUGUUGUAUCAAUUUAUUUUUAUAACCUAGUGUAUUUUCAGGAAGAGUAAAAUUAUUGAUUACGACGAUGCUAUCUUUAUAACAUAAAUAGGUUUCUAAAUUCUAAUGUAGACGUUCAUGCGUUAAAAAUAUAAAUACAAAGCAACACAUUGUUCUGUUCCUAAACAUUAUCCGAGGGAGAGCUAGUUAUGCAAGUUGUAAAAAAAAAAAAAAUGUACUUAAGUAUAUUUUAUAGUCUUCUGAGUUCAACUGUUAAAAAAUUGCCUAUAUGUCUUAGGGUUUAUUUGUGAUUGAAAUUUAAAAUCUACGGCACUAAAGUAUAUGGUAAACACUAGUUACUGUAACUUGAAAGUUAUGUUGAUAUGAAUUUUCAAUUGUAUGAUGGAAGAUCUAUUAUAUCUUUAAUAAUUUUGUUAAAAUUAUUAUUUAAAAUUUAUAUUUACUAUAUAUUAUCAAUUUUUGUUUCAUAAUUACAAUUUUUUCCAUAGCAGCUGUAACUUAAAAGUUACAGCACCUUAAUCCCAAAAAGAACUUUAUUGACGACUUCUCGACGUUAAAUCAUAACUUCGAUCAACUAGGGCUGUAAUUUUUUUUAAUAAUGUUACAGUCCCCUAAUAUUUAGAAUAAAGGGUCUACUAGAACUUUCUAAUCAAUUUUGUGACUGUGCAGUCAGAUUGGCUCUAAAUAACAUAAAUUAAUAUUAUAUAGUAAAUAUGAAAUAAAAAUUAAUAGUACAUAGUAAACACAAUUUUUAAACAAUAAUUUUGUUAAAAUUAAUAAAAAUAUAAUAGAUUUUUUAUCAUAUAAGUAUAAACUCAAAUCAACUUAACUUGCAAGUUACAAUAAUUAAUAUAUAAAAAAUAUUUUAGUACUAUAACUUUGAAAUUAUAAUUGUCUAAUUUCAAUUCCAACCGAGCUAGGGGUGGCAAAAAUACCCGCCUGGUCCAGACCCGUACCGCACCCGGGCGUUGUGGGCAUGGUAUUACCCAGCUUGAGUAUGAAGCCAGACCGAUCUUGAGCAUCACUUGAUAAAUUCGGAGCUCGGCUCGGAACCCAAAUUUUAUUAAAAAAAUAUUAUAAAAUAUAUACUAUUUUAAAUAUUUAUAUUUAUUUGACUCAUUUAUUACACAUAUAUAAAAUUUUAAACACUUAAAGUUUAUAUUUUUAUAUCAAAUUUUAUUGAAAUAAAUUUAAAACUUAUAAAAUUACCAAAAAAAAUAUACACAUAUAAUAUUAAAAAAUAUAAAAUUUAGGUACUCGCAUUAAAACUUGAUCCGAACAUCUAAAAAUUACAUCCAAACUAAGUCUGGACAUUGCGAUACCCGAACCCAACCCAGGAUUUUGCCAACCCUAAACCGAGCCUUCGACUUCUAAAUAAAUAUUUUGAAACAACGACGGAUAAAAUAAAUAAAGCCAUUCAAAUAGGAACGGACUAAUUCAUGGAGGCAUCAAUUCGUAAAGUUACAGUCGUGCCAGUGAACCAAUUCCUUAGAGCGAAAUGGACACACGGAAAGGACAAUAGGCCAGAGCAACCGACAUAAUUCACAUUAAGAAAAUGACAAUAAAGCUGAUUGAUAAUGAGAAAGACUUUGAGAGUGUAAAACGAAAUUAAAAUUAAAUAACCUACUUGCUUUGGUUUCUGUAAUUUGCCCUAAAAAGAGCAAUGAAAUUACGUAAUAAAUCCCGUGAUCAUCAUGUCCCAAUUCCCACCCACUCGGUCUGCUUGACCCUUGAUGGACGGUGGCCACAACAUCAUUACAGAUGUGGAUGAAAUUGAGCCAGCUAGGAUACCCCAACGUAAUGUCAUUUUUCUUUCUAAAUAGUCUAAGCGCAUUUAAGUAAUUUCCACAAAAUUCCAAGAAAAUGAUUGGUCGGUCACAAGAUAAGUAAGUAAAUUCAAUUUUAUACACCAAAUUGGAGCCCACCACCUGCACUCAUCACUCCCUGAUCCGGAUGAUAUAACCCCCUUCCCCCAACUUCUAGUACUCUCUCACUCAUUCUCAUCACAACAUCAAACGGCCACAAACAAAAAAGCAAGUGCUUCUUAUUGACUGUUUUGUGUUUUUGAGGGACUAGCAGAAAUGGAAGGUAAAGAAGAGGAUGUUAGACUGGGAGCCAACAAGUUCGCCGAGAGGCAGCCGAUUGGGACGGCGGCUCAGACCCAAGAUGGGAAGGACUACGUUGAGCCCCCACCGGCGCCGCUCUUUGAGCCCGGCGAGCUCAAGUCUUGGUCGUUUUACAGGGCCGGUAUAGCCGAGUUCAUAGCCACUUUUCUUUUCUUGUACAUCUCCGUACUGACAGUGAUGGGCGUCGUCAAGUCCAAUACCAAGUGCUCAACCGUCGGCAUUCAAGGGAUUGCAUGGGCCUUCGGUGGCAUGAUCUUCGUGCUCGUUUACUGCACAGCUGGCAUCUCGGGUUCGUACCGGCUGCGCCUCUGCUUGGUUAAUUUUAUAAGCAAAAUAUCUAAAGUGUUUUUAAAACUGUUUGUUUUGACGCAGGUGGUCAUAUCAACCCGGCGGUGACACUCGGCCUGUUCUUGGCGAGGAAGCUGUCGCUGACACGUGCACUUUUCUACAUGGUGAUGCAGUGUCUGGGAGCCAUCUGCGGUGCUGGCGUUGUAAAGGGUUUCAUGGGUGCCGGCCAAUAC